rnacentral:rRNA from 1 species
UACGUAGGGACCAAGCGUUGUUCGGAUUUACUGGGCGUAAAGGGCUCGUAGGCGGCCAACUAAGUCAGACGUGAAAUCCCUCGGCUUAACCGGGGAACUGCAUCUGAUACUGGAUGGCUUGAGUUCGGGAGAGGGAUGCGGAAUUCCAGGUGUAGCGGUGAAAUGCGUAGAUAUCUGGAGGAACACCGGUGGCGAAGGCGGCAUCCUGGACCGACACUGACGCUGAGGAGCGAAAGCCAGGGGAGCAAACGGG